UCCAGACUCCUACGGGAGGCAGCAGUGAGGAAUAUUGGUCAAUGGCCGGGAGGCUGAACCAGCCAAGUCGCGUGAGGGAAGACGGCCCUACGGGUUGUAAACCUCUUUUGUCAGGGAGCAAGGUGCGGGUCGGGACCUGCUGUGAGAGUACCUGAAGAAAAAGCAUCGGCUAACUCCGUGCCAGCAGCCGCGGUAAUACGGAGGAUGCGAGCGUUAUCCGGAUUUAUUGGGUUUAAAGGGUGCGUAGGCGGUUUUUUAAGUUAGUGGUUAAACGUCGGGGCUUCACCUUGAUUUGCCAUUAAUACUGUAAGACUCGAGUUCAGACGAGGUAGGCGGAAUAAGUUAAGUAGCGGUGAAAUGCUUAGAUAUAACUUAGAACUCCGAUAGCGAAGGCAGCUUACCAGACUGCGACUGACGCUGAAGCACGAGAGCGUGGGUAGCGAACAGGAUUAGAUACCCCGGUA
rnacentral:rRNA from 1 species